AGUGCCAUAAUGGUCUUUUAGCCUAAAACGGGAGAAAGUUUUGAUUGACACAAUUGGUAAUAGCGAUUGGCUGAAAAGCUCAUGGCGCAAAGCUAGCGUGUAUCAGAUUAUAGUUGAGCGUCUCAAAGUUUGAAAUCGAGCUAUAAGCAAUGCACU
rfam:Beta vulgaris subsp. vulgaris Bvchr2.sca001.con0017.1, whole genome shotgun sequence.